rnacentral:piRNA from 1 species
UCCAGGACAGCUAGACCUUUUACAUAGGAAA